rnacentral:rRNA from 1 species
AUGGCCCGCACGAAGCAGACGGCGCGCAAGUCCACCGGCGGCAAGGCGCCGCGAAAGCAGCUGGCGACCAAGGCGGCGCGCAAGUCCGCCCCGGCCACCGGCGGCGUGAAGAAGCCGCACCGUUUCCGCCCUGGAACCGUCGCGCUGCGCGAGAUCCGCAAGUACCAGAAGAGCACGGAGCUGCUCAUCCGCAAGCUCCCCUUCCAGCGGCUGGUGCGGGAGAUCGCGCAGGACUUCAAGACGGACCUGCGCUUCCAGAGCUCCGCCGUGUCCGCGCUGCAGGAGGCCGCCGAGGCGUACCUCGUCGGGCUCUUCGAGGACACCAACCUCUGCGCCAUCCACGCCAAGCGCGUCACCAUCAUGCCCAAGGACAUCCAGCUCGCCCGCCGGAUCCGAGGGGAGCGCGCCUAG